rnacentral:rRNA from 1 species
CGGUAAUACAGAGGGUGCAAGCGUUAAUCGGAAUUACUGGGCGUAAAGCGCGCGUAGGUGGUUUGUUAAGUUGGAUGUGAAAUCCCCGGGCUCAACCUGGGAACUGCAUCCAAAACUGGCAAGCUAGAGUAUGGUAGAGGGUGGUGGAAUUUCCUGUGUAGCGGUGAAAUGCGUAGAUAUAGGAAGGAACACCAGUGGCGAAGGCGACCACCUGGACUGAUACUGACACUGAGGUGCGAAAGCGUGGGGAGCAAACAGGAUUA